rnacentral:rRNA from 1 species
GACGAACGCUGGCGGCGUGUUUAACACAUGCAAGUCGAACGGUGAAGGGGUCUGCUUUUGUGGGCCCUGGAUGAGUGGCGAACGGGUGAGUAACACGUGAGUAACCUGCCCCCUUCUUCUGGAUAACCGCAUGAAAGUGUGGCUAAUACGGGAUAUUCUGGGUCUGUCGCAUGAUGGGUCUGGGAAAGAUUGCGCCUUUGGGUGUUUUUGGUGGGGGAUGGGCUCGCGGCCUAUCAGCUUGUUGGUGGGGUGAUGGCCUACCAAGGCGGUGACGGGUAGCCGGCCUGAGAGGGUGGACGGUCACACUGGGACUGAGACACGGCCCAGACUCCUACGGGAGGCAGCAGUGGGGAAUAUUGCACAAUGGGCGCAAGCCUGAUGCAGCGACGCCGCGUGAGGGAUGGAGGCCUUCGGGUUGUAAACCUCUUUCGCCAGUGAAGCAGGCCUGCUCCUUGUGGGUGGGUUGACGGUAGCUGGAUAAGAAGCGCCGGCUAACUACGUG